rnacentral:rRNA from 1 species
GACUCGUCACACUAUCAUUAACUGAAUCCAUAGGUUAAUGAGGCGAACCGGGGGAACUGAAACAUCUAAGUACCCCGAGGAAAAGAAAUCAACCGAGAUUCCCCCAGUAGCGGCGAGCGAACGGGGAGGAGCCCAGAGCCUGAAUCAGCAUGUGUGUUAGUGGAAGCGUCUGGAAAGGCGCGCGAUACAGGGUGACAGCCCCGUACACAAAAGCGCAUGUGCUGUGAGCUCGAUGAGUAGGGCGGGACACGUGGUAUCCUGUCUGAAUAUGGGGGGACCAUCCUCCAAGGCUAAAUACUCCUGACUGACCGAUAGUGAACCAGUACCGUGAGGGAAAGGCGAAAAGAACCCCGGCGAGGGGAGUGAAAAAGAACCUGAAACCGUGUACGUACAAGCAGUGGGAGCACCCUU